GGAGGCAGCAGUGGGGAAUAUUGGACAAUGGGCGAAAGCCUGAUCCAGCAAUGCCGCGUGAGUGAUGAAGGCCUUAGGGUUGUAAAGCUCUUUUACCCGGGAUGAUAAUGACAGUACCGGGAGAAUAAGCUCCGGCUAACUCCGUG
rnacentral:rRNA from 1 species